rnacentral:rRNA from 1 species
CGCGGCCUAUCAGCUUGUUGGUGAGGUAAUGGCUCACCAAGGCAUCGACGGGUAGCUGGUCUGAGAGGACGAUCAGCCACACUGGGACUGAGACACGGCCCAGACUCCUACGGGAGGCAGCAGUAGGGAAUCUUGCGCAAUGGGCGAAAGCCUGACGCAGCAACGCCGCGUGGGGGAAGAAGGCCUUCGGGUCGUAAACCCCUUUCAGCAGGGACGAAAUUGACGGUACCUGCAGAAGAAGCGCCGGCCAACUACGUGCCAGCAGCCGCGGUAAUACGUAGGGCGCAAGCGUUGUCCGGAUUCAUUGGGCGUAAAGGGCUCGUAGGCGGUUUGGUAAGUCGGGUGUGAAAACUCAGGGCUCAACCCUGAGACGCCACUCGAUACUGCUAUGGCUAGAGUCCGGUAGGGGAGUGUAGAAUUCCUGGUGUAGCGGUGAAAUGCGCAGAUAUCAGGAGGAAUACCGAUAGCGAAGGCAGCACUCUGGGCCGGUACUGACGCUGAGGAGCGAAAGCGUGGGGAGCGAACAGGAUUAGAUACCCUGGUAGUCCACGCCGUAAACGUUGGGCACUAGGUGUGGGUUCUUUCUAACGGAAUCCGUGCCGCAGCUAACGCAUUAAGUGCCCCGCCUGGGGAGUACGG